CACGAGCGCUGGCGGCGUGCCUAAUACAUGCAAGUCGAACGGUCUUUUCUAUGGAAGCUUGCUUCCACUGAGAAGAUAGUGGCGAACGGGUGAGUAACACGUGGGUAACCUGCCCAUAAGAGGGGGAUAACAUCCGGAAACGGGUGCUAAUACCGCAUAGUUUUCUUGAUCGCAUGAUCGGGAAAGGAAAGACGGCCUUUGUGCUGUCGCUUAGGGAUGGACCCGCGGCGUAUUAGUUAGUUGGUGAGGUAACGGCUCACCAAGACGAUGAUACGUAGCCGACCUGAGAGGGUGAUCGGCCACAUUGGGACUGAGACACGGCCCAAACUCCUACGGGAGGCAGCAGUAGGGAAUCUUCCGCAAUGGACGAAAGUCUGACGGAGCAACGCCGCGUGAGUGAAGAAGGUUUUCGGAUCGUAAAACUCUGUUGUCAGAGAAGAACAAGUUGGAGAGUAACUGCUCCAGCCUUGACGGUAUCUGACCAGAAAGCCACGGCUAACUACGUGCCAGCCGCCGCAGUAAAAC
rnacentral:rRNA from 1 species